rnacentral:rRNA from 1 species
CUUAAAAGAGUUAGCAAGUUUGACAUUAAUGUCUGGUGUAAUAAGUUUCACUGGGUCCAUUGUGUUGAAGCGUGCUUCUAAUCGUCCGCAAGGACAAUUACUUUGACUCUGGCCUGAAAUCAGGUAGGACUACCCGCUGAACUUAAGCAUAUCAAUAAGCGGAGGAAAAGAAACUAACAAGGAUUCCCCUAGUAACGGCGAGUGAAGCGGGAAGAGCUCAAAUUUGAAAUCUGGCAGUCUUCGAUUGUCCGAGUUGUAAUCUAUAGAGGCGUUUUCCGUGCCGGACCGUGUCCAAGUCUCCUGGAAAGGAGUAUCAAAGAGGGUGAUAAUCCCGUACUUAACACGACCACCGGUGCUCUGUGAUACGUCUUCUACGAGUCGAGUUGUUUGGGAAUGCAGCUCAAAAUGGGUGGUGAAUUCCAUCUAAAGCUAAAUAUUGGCGAGAGACCGAUAGCGAACAAGUACCGUGAGGGAAAGAUGAAAAGCACUUUGGAAAGAGAGUUAAACAGUACGUGAAAUUGUUGAAAGGGAAACGAUUGAAGUCAGUCGUGUUCUUUGGAUUCAGCCAGUUCUGCUGGUCUACUUCCUUUGAACGGGUCAACAUCAGUUUUGUCCGGUGGAUAAAGGCAGUAGGAAUGUAGCUUCUCCGGAAGUGUUAUAGCCUAUUGUCACAUACACUGGGUGAGACUGAGGACUGCAGCUCGCCUUUAUGGCCGACCUUCGGGUACGUUCGAGCUUAGGAUGUUGACAUAAUGGCUUUAAACGACCCGUCUUGAAACACGGACCAAGGAGUCUAACAUAUCUGCGAGUGUUUGGGUGUCAAACUCGAGCGCGUAAUGAAAGUGAAUUGGAGGGAUCCGCAAGGAGCACCUUCGACCGAUCCAGAUGUUUACUGAAGGAUUUGAGUAAGAGCAUAUAUGCUGGGACCCGAAAGAUGGUGAACUAUGCCUGAAUAGGGC